CAUCUGCCACUUUAAUAGAUAAUAUACUUACAAAUAACUUACUUUCAUUUCAUGAUACUGGUCUAUUGUAUUGUGAUGAAUCCGAUCACUUGCCUGUCUUUACUAUUUCAAAGUUUAAUGUUGCUAAUGUCAAAUCAUCGAAAGUAAACAUAGGUCACAGAAUUAUAAAUCAGAAAAAUAUUGAGGCCUUAAUUAGGAAUUUGCACGAAGUCAACUGGAGGGAUGUAUAUGCUGCAGAAGAUCCAAACGAUAGUUAUAAUAUUUCUCAAAAAAAAAUUCGUGCAUUGUAUGAUAAGCAUUUUCUAAUUGUAUUAGAAAAAAACAAAAAACAAGAAAUUAAAAUGUUGGAUGACGGAUGGAAUGUUACAGUCGAUCCGUCAUAAGAAUAAAUUAUAAAAAAUGUAUUUACGUAACCCAUCAGACCAAAAUGCUUAUGUGUAUAAAAACUAUCGUAACCUACUCACAGGAUUAA